rnacentral:lncRNA from 1 species
AGAGAUAUCUGUAUAAGAAGAGACUAUCUGGAUUGAGGACCCGGGAUCUUUCCCUUUAACUUUCGCCCCUUGGAGUUCUCCAGUUCUGUGAAUGAAAAGAAAAAGAAAAAAAUGUCAUUAGAAGAGGCGUAACACGUCAGUCCGUCCCCAGGUUUGUGUUUCCUGGAGUGGCCGAAAGAGAUCAGUUCUAACCUGCUCUGCAGGAAUAACGGUCCUGCCUCCCGACACUCUUGGCGAGGUUUUUGUACAGUUUGCUCCGGGAGCUGUUUCUUCGCUUCCACCUUUUUCUCCCCCACACUUCGCGGCUUCUUCAUGCUUUUUCUUCUCACCAUUUCUGGCCAAAACUACAAACAAGACUUCGCAGAUCGAGCCUGCGUGCUGCCGAAGCAGGGCGCCGAGUCCAUGCGAACUGCCAUCUGAUCCGCUCUUAUCA